rnacentral:rRNA from 1 species
GAUGAACGCUGGCGGCGUGCCUAAUACAUGCCAGUCGAGCGAACGGACGAGAAGCUUGCUUCUCUGAUGUUAGCGGCGGACGGGUGAGUAACACGUGGAUAACCUACCUAUAAGACUGGGAUAACUUCGGGAAACCGUAGCUAAUACCGGAUAAUAUUUUGAACCGCAUGGUUCAAAAGUGAAAGACGGUCUUGCUGUCACUUAUAGAUGGAUCCGCGCUGCAUUAGCUAGUUGGUAAGGUAACGGCUUACCAAGGCAGCGAUGCAUAGCCGACCUGAGAGGGUGAUCGGCCACACUGGAACUGAGACACGGUCCAGACUCCUACGGGAGGCAGCAGUAGGGAAUCUUCCGCAAUGGGCGAAAGCCUGACGGAGCAACGCCGCGUGAGUGAUGAAGGUCUUCGGAUCGUAAAACUCUGUUAUUAGGGAAGAACAUAUGUGUAAGUAACUGUGCACAUCUUGACGGUACCUAAUCAGAAAGCCACGGCUAACUACGUG